GUGGGGAAUUUUGGACAAUGGGCGCAAGCCUGAUCCAGCCAUGCCGCGUGCAGGAUGAAGGCCUUCGGGUUGUAAACUGCUUUUGUACGGAACGAAAAAGCUCUCUCUAAUACAGGGGGUGAAUGACGGUACCGUAAGAAUAAGCACCGGCUAACUACGUGCCAGCAGCCGCGGUAAUACGUAGGGUGCAAGCGUUAAUCGGAAUUACUGGGCGUAAAGCGUGCACAGGCGGUUAUGUAAGACAGAGGUGAAAUCCCCGGGCUCAACCUGGGAACUGCCUUUGUGACUGCAUAGCUGGAGUGCGGCAGAGGGGGAUGGAAUUCCGCGUGUAGCAGUGAAAUGCGUAGAUAUGCGGAGGAACACCGAUGGCGAAGGCAAUCCCCUGGGCCUGCACUGACGCUCAUGCACGAAAGCGUGGGGAGCAAACAGGAUUAGAAACCCCAGUAGUCC
rnacentral:rRNA from 1 species